rnacentral:rRNA from 1 species
GUGAAAGGCCAAUCAAACCGGGAGAUAGCUGGUUCUCCCCGAAAGCUAUUUAGGUAGCGCCUCGUGAAUUCAUCUCCGGGGGUAGAGCACUGUUUCGGCUAGGGGGCCAUCCCGGCUUACCAACCCGAUGCAAACUGCGAAUACCGGAGAAUGUUAUCACGGGAGACACACGGCGGGUGCUAACGUCCGUCGUGAAGAGGGAAACAACCCAGACCGCCAGCUAAGGUCCCAAAGUCAUGGUUAAGUGGGAAACGAUGUGGGAAGGCCCAGACAGCCAGGAUGUUGGCUUAGAAGCAGCCAUCAUUUAAAGAAAGCGUAAUAGCUCACUGGUCGAGUCGGCCUGCGCGGAAGAUGUAACGGGGCUAAACCAU